ACAGAGGGUGCGAGCGUUGUUCGGAAUUAUUGGGCGUAAAGGGCGCGUAGGCGGUGCGGUAAGUCACCUGUGAAACCUCUGGGCUUAACUCAGAGCCUGCAGGCGAAACUACCGUGCUGGAGUGUGGGAGAGGUGCGUGGAAUUCCCGGUGUAGCGGUGAAAUGCGUAGAUAUCAUUUGGAACGCCAAUGGUGAAAACAGCUCGCUGGGGGUUUGCUGACGCUGAGACACGAAAGCCAGGGGAGCAAACGGGA
rnacentral:rRNA from 1 species